UGGGGAAUAUUGCACAAUGGGGGAAACCCUGAUGCAGCAACGCCGCGUGAGUGAUGAAGGUUUUCGGAUCGUAAAGCUCUGUCUUUGGGGAAGAUAAUGACGGUACCCAAGGAGGAAGCCACGGCUAACUACGUGCCAGCAGCCGCGGUAAUACGUAGGUGGCGAGCGUUAUCCGGAUUUACUGGGCGUAAAGGGAGCGUAGGCGGAUGAUUAAGUGGGAUGUGAAAUACCCGGGCUCAACUUGGGUGCUGCAUUCCAAACUGGUUAUCUAGAGUGCAGGAGAGGAGAGUGGAAUUCCUAGUGUAGCGGUGAAAUGCGUAGAGAUUAGGAAGAACACCAGUGGCGAAGGCGACUCUCUGGACUGUAACUGACGCUGAGGCUCGAAAGCGUGGGGAGCAAACAGGAUUAGAUACCCUGGUAGUCC
rnacentral:rRNA from 1 species